GUCCUUGUAGUGCAAUGGAUAGCGCGUUGGACUUCUAAUCCAAAGGUCGUGGGUUCGAAUCCUACCUGGGAUG